GCUCCUUUUCCCUAGUCUAAACUCUCAAGAGCCUCAGGCCAAAGCUGUGCAAGGAGUUGCGGCGGAAAGCGGUUACUUUUUACUAGUUACCUGAGGUUAACCUCAGUCUGGAAGCAGAUGACCCUCCUUCUGAAGAAUUAUUGGAAGGUCAAUAGUAGCCUUACACCAUAUUACAAUGCCUGCAUCAUUCAUGUCACUUUAUCUCAUCACCUGGGCAUUUUGCCAUCUCACACCAUCACGGGAAGGGAAAUAGAAGCAGCUCUGGGCUGAGGACUCAUUCUGCUCUUCCUUUCUGGAUGUACAGUUUGGGCUCAAUUUCUCCAAGACCAUUAACCCAGUAAUCUGAGCUCAGUGGCUCCAGCAUCCACAUGACUGGAAACAGAAGGGUUUCGCCUCUUGCUGUUGGAGGGGUUUAACACACUGUGGAGCUUAGUGGAUUUCUUUCAGGUUUUGUUUCAGCUGCCAAGAGCUCAGGGACUCAAGCAUUUUAAAAAGCUCAAGGAAUGUCAGAGAAUUGAGAAGGGACCCAGGGAAUUGGUGUUUGCUGAGCUAUUGCUGGUGUGCCUGGGAUGGAGAACAAGGAGGCCUAAGAGAUGUGGCCCAUCCUGAAGAUCUGGCUGAGAGGGCUUUGUGCUGCAGGUCUAGCCUCUUUAGUAAUCUUCUCUGCAAGCAAAUGCAUGUGGAGCCAGUGACUAUGAAGUCGGUCAUAUUAAAUUUACUCAGUUUUCUUCAAGUCUUCAAGCGUGAAGCGUUGCAAACCUUCAUAUGUAUACUAGGGAAAGAAAGGAAGAAAAAAAAGAACUCCACCACAAGGCCUAAGGAAAAGGCUGUGGAAAGAAAACAGCAAGAUAAAGCAACACAAUUUCAAAUCUUAAUCUCCUGAAAUGGUGCCUUUAAAGCCGCACUUUCCACAUUUCUGAGUGGAGCCCGUCAAAACUCCGUGUCAAAUCAUGUUAUAACCUUGCUUCUUAUCUGUUUGUGAUAGCUUUCAAGGGCCAGUAAUUCCCCCAUAUGUGGCAGAAAAGUUGUUGGUAGAGAUUUGCGCACUUGACUAAGCUUCCUGCAUUGCUUUUUGUGCAGUGCUGGUGAAGGACAGAGAUUUGUUCUCCCUUUCAGAACUAAACAUGCAACUGCCAACGACACAGUCAAGAAGCAAACCAGAAUCACUCACUUGGUCAGAGAACCCUGACGAAUACAGACUUCAGCACAUCUUUUAGGGGGAUGCAGACCAACCCAUUGCAUGAAACAGUGGCAGUAGCCAAAGAAGACAAAAGUCUGAGAAAGAAUUGGGAGCCAGCAGGCAUGGACAGAAGGCCUACAUUAGGCAUCACGCCAUGGAUUGUAUUUACUGAGUUAGGGGAUUGGAGGAGAGUGAAGGCAGCUAGAUAUGAGCUUCUCUUUCCAUCUUUGUUUCCAGCCAAGGAAACCAGCUGCAAUUCCAGAGAACACAAAGGGAACCACUCCAAAACAGGUUGCAAAAUGCCUAGUUCCUGAGCCAGAUGCAAGCGGCCUGUGCUACACGAGAACUAAAAAAAGAAGAAAGUGGAGGGAAAGGAUGCUCAUCCUUGGAACUCAGCCACCAUUGGUCUGAAGAAGCACAUGCCAUGUGGAGAGGCCCCUGGUUCUCAGGCCUGGCUGAGGUCCCAGCUGACAACUUGCAGGCCAUAUGAAGGCUACAUUGGAAACAUAUCCUCCAGCCCUAAGUCUGGCUGCCUGACUGAGGCUGCACGGAGCACAGAUAGUUCCAUAUUGGCAACAGGAUCAUCUUUUUGCCUUGGGUCCCACACCUUCACAGUUCCUGUUGUGAAUACGACUUCUUUUGAGCCCUUAAUGAGCACUGCCAUCAUUCAACUUGGAACUCAAAGUCCUGAGCACACUCAGUGAUUCUCAGAGAUGAUCUAUCUAGGACCUCUGCACAUGACUUACCAGGUGAGCUUACUAAUAAAUACAGAUUCCUGGGCUCCUCCACAGAUGUAAUGGAUAAACAGCCCCAAAUCUGCUGACUCUUUGGUCCACUGAAGUCUGAUAAUCACUACUUUAAACAUAGAGUAAAUUCAAAGUGAUUUAGAAUGUUUCCAAAGUAGGCCUUGGUAGUCUGAUCUUGAGAUCUUUUGGAAGGAUAAAAUAUGAGUAGUGUUUACUUUGUAUAUGUUUCUUCCUUUAUAAUGUAUUAUUUUCUCACUAAAUUCCUUACUAUUUUCAUCUAGUUACAUAUUUUUCAGUGUACCAUCAUGCUGGGCACAGCAAAUCUACAGUCGAACUGGCUGAAGCUUGUCUAAAUCCAGGUUAGUUAAGAGAAAGGAAUGCAGGAAAGCACCCACUACUGUGGGUGUCUGAGUCUACCCAAGAUGGCAGGGUGAUGAAUGGCUCAAGUAAGUUAUGUUAAUACACCCCUUCUCCUGCCUCCCUCUUUUCUCCUGGAGCUUCUAUCCACAUUUCUCUUUAACAAGUCAGUUUUUGAUAACUUAUACUUAAAAAAAAAAAUGAAGGUAGCUAUUCACGAAAUGUAAUCCCAACUUAUUACUAGGCCAAGAUUUAUUAGUAAAAUCUCCCUAAUUAAAAUUUCAGAUAGCUCAACCUAGGAGACCAUGUUUAUUUUUGUAGCAUCAUUGUGAAAGAAUCAGGACUAAACAGGACUGAGAUUCCACUUCAAAGAAUUGCUUUACUGUUUGACUUUAAAAUACUGCUUUUUACAACACAAAAUUAUAAGACUUAACAAUGAAAAUAAGUCAGUAAUACCUGUGACUAUGCUAGGAAACUCUAUUAGGGAGACAGUCAAUAGUUAUAUUUGUUGCUUAGUCUUAUGCUGAAAUAUGUUAUUUUUAAAAAGAACAUUCAGACUGGUUUCUCCCAAGUUCUCUGAAAGUAUAUGUAAGAACUGAUGCAUUCUAAUAAAUGCUAACUUAAUUAUUAAGCAGUUAAAGCAAGGGGAAUUAAAAUAGCUUCAUUCUAUUUUAUGAUUCAUGUCAGUAAUUUAAUAAGAAAGCAACAGAUUCUAAGUGAGAAUCAAGAAAGGUCACCUUAGAAAACAUGAAGUAGAGAAGAUAGUUUCUUUCUAGAACAUUACUAUAUACUUUAAACAGUAAAAAUAAGACAUAUUCUUGAAAAGUAAUUGAGGAAUUUCAGUUCAUGCAAUCUAAGUAGGAAAUAACUAAAGGUAGAACAUGAAAAUUAUAAGCAUUUGGCAUAGUUACGGUCUUGUUCAUUUGCAACAGGUUUACAUUGAUUUGCUCAAUAGAUGUGUUCCUAAAAAGUUGUGCUUAGAUGUGCAGAAUUUUUUUAAUGAAUUGGGAAUUCUACAUUAAAAAAUUCAAACAAAGAAAACCUCAGUGUAUCAUUCUAUAAUGCCAAAUGUCUCACUGAAAUAUAAACAGUAUCUUAAGUUUUCCAUGUUUUACAUGUGUGGGGAAUAGCCCUUUAUGUACAAAUACAGGGGAUUAAAUGCUAGCACCAAACAGCAUGUGUGGAAAUAAAUAUUGGUAACAUUAUUCAAACUAGCUAAAGAAAAACAGUAUUUUUAAAUGGAUUUUGAAUAUGAAAUCUAGAAAUAUAUAUUAAAGGGCAAUUCUUACAUUUUUAUAAAUAGUUAAAAUUGAACAAGGAACAUUUUAAAAUAAGAAACCCCCCUUUCAGAGGAAGAGUAACAAGACUAUCAAGGAAACUGCCUAUCUUGCGUCUUAAUAUUGACUAAAUAAUCUUACCAUAUAUGAAGGUUUCCAGCAAAAUCUCCAGUAGCUAAAUAUCUCUGCUGUAAAGAUGUUGCACCAAAUGUUCCACACUUAAUGGGUUUGGCCUUUUCAAUCUUGACAGAGGGAAGGAAAGAGGAUACAUUAUUUAUGUAAGCAGCUAUUUAUAAUUCAUGAUAUUUAUGGCUCUACUAUGGGCCUUAAAUAAGGCACAUAAUAUAAAAAGCAAUGAAAAAUUUUCUGAUCAAAAUUAUGCUUUUCCUUUCAUCACUUUUCUGUAGUUUAAAAGUGUGUAACUGUCAAAAAGAAUGAGUUUUAAUUUUGCCUUUGCUCUCAUCUCACUAAUGAGACAUUCAAAUGCUGACAAGUGCACCAUCUCCAUUGGUUUGCAAAUAUGAACAUUUCAACAUUUCAUGUGGUAUUCUUCUCUAAGAUCCUCAGUAGGAAUAAGAACAUAAUGAAGAUGUUAUUCUUUCCAGAUGGCUACAGGAACAAAAAUGUUCAUGUGUCUCUUAUAGUUUUCCCUGCAGAACCCUAUAAACUGAGAGUGUUUAUGUCACUAUUCUCUCUGGGACCUUGUCAAUGCACACAGAUUUGUAGAUGUGUGAGUGCCAAAGGCACUGCUAUUGCUAUGGAUUAGCCAAUAUUUUGAAGUUUCUUUAAAAAGCUCUGUUUCAAGUAUUGCAUAUAAUCCCAUUAGUAGAACAACCACAUACCAAUGCACUAGUUAAGGUACAUGGCUUAAGGAAAUCAAGUCUAGACCAUAUUAUCAAAAGGAUCCUAAGAAAUGAUAUCAUACAGGGGCGCCGAAGGUUGGCUCAGUCAGUAAAGGGGCCAACUCUUGAUUUCGGCUCAGGUCAUGCUCUCACUGUUGGUGGGAUCAAACCCCAUGUCUGGCUCUAUGCUGACAACAAGGAGCCUGCUUGGGAUCCUUUCUCUCUCUCUCAAAAAUAAACAAACAUUAAAAAAAAAAAAGAAA